rnacentral:rRNA from 1 species
GGAGCUUGCUCCACCGGAAAAAGAAGAGUGGCGAACGGGUGAGUAACACGUGGGUAACCUGCCCAUCAGAAGGGGAUAACACUUGGAAACAGGUGCUAAUACCGUAUAACAAUCGAAACCGCAUGGUUUUGAUUUGAAAGGCGCUUUCGGGUGUCGCUGAUGGAUGGACCCGCGGUGCAUUAGCUAGUUGGUGAGGUAACGGCUCACCAAGGCCACGAUGCAUAGCCGACCUGAGAGGGUGAUCGGCCACAUUGGGACUGAGACACGGCCCAAACUCCUACGGGAGGCAGCAGUAGGGAAUCUUCGGCAAUGGACGAAAGUCUGACCGAGCAACGCCGCGUGAGUGAAGAAGGUUUUCGGAUCGUAAAACUCUGUUGUUAGAGAAGAACAAGGAUGAGAGUAACUGUUCAUCCCUUGACGGUAUCUAACCAGAAAGCCACGGCUAACUACGUGCCAGCAGCCGCGGUAAUACGUAGGUGGCAAGCGUUGUCCGGAUUUAUUGGGCGUAAAGCGAGCGCAGGCGGUUUCUUAAGUCUGAUGUGAAAGCCCCCGGCUCAACCGGGGAGGGUCAUUGGAAACUGGGAGACUUGAGUGCAGAAGAGGAGAGUGGAAUUCCAUGUGUAGCGGUGAAAUGCGUAGAUAUAUGGAGGAACACCAGUGGCGAAGGCGGCUCUCUGGUCUGUAACUGACGCUGAGGCUCGAAAGCGUGGGGAGCAAACAGGAUUAGAUACCCUGGUAGUCCACGCCGUAAACGAUGAGUGCUAAGUGUUGGAGGGUUUCCGCCCUUCAGUGCUGCAGCUAACGCAUUAAGCACUCCGCCUGGGGAGUACGACCGCAAGGUUGAAACUCAAAGGAAUUGACGGGGGCCCGCACAAGCGGUGGAGCAUGUGGUUUAAUUCGAAGCAACGCGAAGAACCUUACCAGGUCUUGACAUCCUUUGACCACUCUAGAGAUAGAGCUUCCCCUUCGGGGGCAAAGUGACAGGUGGUGCAUGGUUGUCGUCAGCUCGUGUCGUGAGAUGUUGGGUUAAGUCCCGCAACGAGCGCAACCCUUAUUGUUAGUUGCCAUCAUUCAGUUGGGCACUCUAGCAAGACUGCCGGUGACAAACCGGAGGAAGGUGGGGAUGACGUCAAAUCAUCAUGCCCCUUAUGACCUGGGCUACACACGUGCUACAAUGGGAAGUACAACGAGUCGCGAAGUCGCGAGGCUAAGCUAAUCUCUUAAAGCUUCUCUCAGUUCGGAUUGUAGGCUGCAACUCGCCUACAUGAAGCCGGAAUCGCUAGUAAUCGCGGAUCAGCACGCCGCGGUGAAUACGUUCCCGGGCCUUGUACACACCGCCCGUCACACCACGAGAGUUUGUAACACCCGAAGUCGGUGAGGUAACCUUGGAGCCAG